UGGGGAAUCUUGCACAAUGGAGGAAACUCUGAUGCAGCGACGCCGCGUGAGCGAAGAAGCCUUUCGGGGUGUAAAGCUCUUACACCAGGGACGAUAAUGACGGUACCUGGAGAAGCAGCUGCGGCUAACUACGUGCCAGCAGCCGCGGUAAUACGUAGGCAGCAAGCGUUGUUCGGAAUUACUGGGCGUAAAGGGUGCGUAGGCGGCGCUUUAAGUUUGGUGUGAAAUCUCCCGGCUUAACUGGGAGGGUGCACUGAAAACUGGGGCGCUCGAGUAUGGGAGAGGAAAGCGGAAUUCCUGGUGUAGCGGUGAAAUGCGUAGAGAUCAGGAGGAACACCUGCGGUGCAGACGGCUUUCUGGACCAUCACUGACGCUGAGGCACGAGAGCGUGGGUAGCAAACA
rnacentral:rRNA from 1 species